rnacentral:rRNA from 1 species
CUACGGGGGGCACCAGUGGGGAAUAUUGCACAAUGGGGGAAACCCUGAUGCAGCAACGCCGCGUGGAGGAUGACACAUUUCGGUGCGUAAACUCCUUUUAUAGGUCAAGAUAAUGACGGUAGCCUAUGAAUAAGCGCCGGCUAACUCCGUGCCAGCAGCCGCGGUAAUACGGAGGGCGCAAGCGUUACUCGGAAUCACUGGGCGUAAAGAGCAUGUAGGCGGAUUGUUAAGUUGGAAGUGAAAUCCUAUGGCUUAACCAUAGAACUGCUUCCAAAACUGAUAAUCUAGAGUAUGGGAGAGGUAGAUGGAAUUUCUGGUGUAGGGGUAAAAUCCGUAGAGAUCAGAAGGAAUACCGAUUGCGAAGGCGAUCUACUGGAACAUUACUGACGCUCAGAUGCGAAAGCGUGGGGAGCAAACAGGAUUAGAUACCCUUGUAGUC